UGAGUAUAUAGUGUGUA
rnacentral:misc_RNA from 1 species